UGCAAGUCGANCGCAGUAGCAAUACUGAGUGGCAGACGGGUGAGUAACAUGUGGGAAUCUGCCUUGUGGUUCAGGACAACAUUGGGAAACCGAUGCUAAUACUGGAUAAGCCCUUACGGGGAAAGCUUUAAUGCCAUAAGAUGAGCCCGCAUUUGAUUAGUUAGUUGGUGAGGUAAUGGCUCACCAAGACAAUGAUCAAUAGCUGAUCUGAGAGGAUGAUCAGCCACACUGGGACUGAGACACGGCCCAGACUCCUACGGGAGGCAGCAGUGGGGAAUCUUGCACAAUGGAGGAAACUCUGAUGCAGCGAUGCCGCGUGAGUGAAGAAGGCCUUUGGGUUGUAAAGCUCUUUUGUAGGGGAAGAUAAUGACUGUACCCUAAGAAUAAGGUCCGGCUAACUUCGUGCCAGCAGCCGCGGUAAUACGAAGGGACCUAGCGUAGUUCGGAAUUACUGGGCGUAAAGCGCGCGUAGGCCGUUGAGUUAGUUAAUUGUGAAAUCCCAAAGCUUAACUUUGGAACUGCAAUUAAAACUGCUCGACUAGAGUUUGAUAGAGGAAAGCGGAAUACAUAGUGUAGAGGUGAAAUUCGUAGAUAUUAUGUAGAACACCAGUUGCGAAGGCGGCUUUCUGGAUCAACACUGACGCUGAGGCGCGAAAGUAUGGGUAGCAAAGAGGAUUAGAUACCCUCGUAGUCCAUACCAUAAACGAUGAUUGCUAGAUGUUGGAAAUUUAUUUUCAGUAUCGCAGCUAACGCAUUAAGCAAUCCGCCUGGGGGAGUACGACCGCAAGGUUAAAACUCAAAUGAAUUGACGGGGACCCGCACAAGCGGUGNAGCAUGUGGGUUUAAUUCNAAGAUACGCGCANAACCNUACCCAACCCUUGACAUGUCUGUCGCGAGUUUAGGAAACU
rnacentral:rRNA from 1 species